rnacentral:misc_RNA from 1 species
GCAAAUAUGAAGAAGAAUCUUUUCCUUUCCCUCCUCAUUUCCUCCCUCUUUUCCCUUUCCCUCUCAGAACUCUGCAACCACCAUGACAAGAAAGUUCUCCUCCAAAUCAAACAAGACUUUGGCAAUCCUUACCUUCUUGCUUCUUGGAAGGGAGACACUGAUUGCUGCACACAAUGGUACCAGGUCGAGUGUGACUCUACCACCCACCGUAUCAUUUCCCUCACCAUUUUUGCUGGUAAUCUUUCUGGAGAAAUUCCCNGUUGGUGAUUUGCCUUAUCUCCAGACCCUUGUGUUCCAUAAGCUAACAAACGUUACAGGCCCCAUA